rnacentral:misc_RNA from 1 species
AGCAGCCCAAAUUAGUAAACCUCCCGGAGUUUGGAAAACUCUGUUGGAGGUCCUCUCCAAUGUCAGGAGCACAAAUAAUGUCCAAAACAACUUGGGAGGUUACCGCGUACUAUGGACAGGCAUGGGGGAGGACCUCCAACAGAGUUUUCCAAACUCUGCAAUUUGUUGGUCAAUCCUUGAGCCAAUCAGGAGGAGACUAUUAAGUUUGGUUGGUGAGGAAUCCA